UAUGACCAUAUCACACUGAAACACUGGUCCUUCUAUGAUCACUGAAGUUAAGCUACGUUGAGCCUGGUCAGUACCUAGAUGGGUGAAGACUUGUGAAUACAAAGUGUUGUAA